CCCUUAGAUGUUCUGGGCUGCACGCGUGCUACAAUGGCGCUUGCAACAAGUCUUGCCAACCCGAUAGGGUGAGCGGAUCUUUGAAGAGGCGUCGUGAUCGGGACAGUUGAUUGCAAUCAUUCGACUCGAACGAGGAAUUCCUUGUAAUCGCGAUUCAUCAUAUCGCGCUGAAUACGUCCCUGCCCUUUGUACACACCGCCCGUCGCUCCUACCGAUUGAGCGAUCCGGUGAAUGUUUUGGACUGGCGUCAGAAGCGGUUCGCUCCUGACACUACGAAAUUUUGUAAACCUUAUCGCUUAGAGGAAGGAAAAGUCGUAACA
rnacentral:rRNA from 1 species